AUUCGUGUGAUACGAAAGUGUAAUAGAAGCACAUUACACUGCUUGGCAGAGCUUAAGAACUGUU
rnacentral:sRNA from 12 species